rnacentral:rRNA from 1 species
AGUAGUUUGAUCCUGGCUCAGGACGACGCUGGCGGCGUGCUUAACACAUGCAAGUCGAACGGGGUGCCCAUGAAGGAGAUUUCGGUCAACGGAUUGGGUUACUUAGUGGCGGACGGGUGAGUAACGCGUGAGGAACCUGCCUUUCAGAGGGGGACAACAGUUGGAAACGACUGCUAAUACCGCAUAACAUGUAGGUGUCGCAUGGCAUUUACAUCAAAGAUUUAUCGCUGAGAGAUGGCCUCGCGUCUGAUUAGCUAGUUGGUAGGGUAACGGCCUACCAAGGCGACGAUCAGUAGCCGGACUGAGAGGUUGGCCGGCCACAUUGGGACUGAGAUACGGCCCAGACUCCUACGGGAGGCAGCAGUGGGGGAUAUUGGGCAAUGGGCGCAAGCCUGACCCAGCAACGCCGCGUGAAGGAAGAAGGCUUUCGGGUUGUAAACUUCUUUUGUCAGGGAAGAGUAGAAGACGGUACCUGACGAAUAAGCCACGGCUAACUACGUG